rnacentral:rRNA from 1 species
GACGUAGGGGGCCAGCGUUGUUCGGAAUUACUGGGUGUAAAGGGUGCGUAGGCGGGUUUUUAAGUCAGGGGUGAAAUCCUGGAGCUCAACUCCAGAACUGCCUUUGAUACUGGCGAGCUUGAGUCCGGGAGAGGUGAGUGGAACUGCGAGUGUAGAGGUGAAAUUCGUAGAUAUUCGCAAGAACACCAGUGGCGAAGGCGGCUCACUGGCCCGGUACUGACGCUGAGGUGCGAAAGCGUGGGGAGCAAACAGG